AUUGAACGCUGGCGGCAGGCCUAACACAUGCAAGUCGAGCGCGCGGCGGACGGGUGAGUAAUGUCUCUGAAACUGCCUGAUGUAGGGGGAUAACUACUGGAAACGGUAUCUCAUACCGCAUACCAUCAGAUGUGCCCAGAGGGGAGUAGCUAGUAGGUGGGGUAACGGCUCACCUAGGCGACGAUCCCUAGCUGGUCUGAGCGGAUGACCAGCCACACUGGAACUGAGACACGGUCCAGACUCCUACGGGAGGCAGCAGUGGGGAAUAUUGCACAAUGGGCGCAAGCCUGAUGCAGCCAUGCCGCGUGUGUGAAGAAGGCCUUCGGGUUGUAAAGCACUUUCAGCGGGGAGGCGUUACCCGCAGAAGAAGCACCGGCUAACUCCGUGCCAGCAGCCGCGGUAAUAC
rnacentral:rRNA from 1 species